AAAAAUUGUCACCAUUUUUAAUUUAAAACUCCCUCUUAAUUUUCUCAAUAAAUCUUCUCUGUGUUAAUUCAAUCCUCUUCCUCUACCAAAUUGGUGUUGAAGCUCGAUAAACCAACUUUGAGAGAAGUGAUGAUCGAGAAAGCGACAUUCUGUUUUCAGCUUUGGGUUCAACUUCAAAACCAAUUAGAUUGGCCAUUCUCAAACUCAACAAAAAAAUACCUGAAAGUAAAAGUCUACUUCACUUUGGAAAGUAGGACAACUACACUUUCGAAAGUUCAAGACGAUGAUAUUCUGCUGAUGAGAAAAUGUUUACAGUUACUGUUGGCCGGAAAAUUAUAGCGUUCACCAUUGAUUUUCUGAUUGUAUUCUUCAUCUUCUCUGCUGUACUUGUAAUUGUGUUCAAUGGAGUUGCGGACAUGGUCGACUUCUAGGAUACUUAUGGCCUUUAACACCAUAGCUAUGCAAUUGAAGCUCAGUAAUGCAAGUGAUGCCCUGGAUAAGUUGAGAUUUCUUGGUGUUACUGAGCCUGAGCUUUUGAAGGAUGCAGUUGAUCUCGAUAUUCGCAUUUAAAUCGAUAAAGAUAAUGACAUUAUUACCAUAACGGACUCAGGAAUUGGUAUGACUCACCAAGAACUUGUUGACUGCCUUGGUACUAUUGCACAAAGUGGAACUGCAAAAUCCCUAAAGGCACUAAAGGAUAGCAAGGAUGCUGGUGUUGACAACAAUUUAAUUGGUCAAGUUGGUGUUGGAUUCUACUCAGCUUUCCUUGUUUCUGAACAAGUCGAAGUCUCAAUAAAAAGCCCAAAGUCUGACAAAUAAUAUGUCUGGGUUGGAGAGGCCAAUUCCAGCACUUAUGCCAUCCAAGAGGAGACUGAUCCUGCAAAAAAACUUCCUAGGAGGGAUGUCAAAGGAUUUGCACAUCCGAAAAGAAUAGAAAAGCUUGUGAAGAACUAAUCACAGUUUGUUUCAUUCCCUAGUUACACAUGGCAAGAGAAGGGAUAUACAAAAGAGGUUGAAGUUGAUGAGGAUCCGACAGAAGCCAAGAAGGAAGGAAAAGAUGAGACAGCUGAGGUAUCUGUUAAUACUAUCUAUUAUGGGGGUAACAUUGUUGAUAUUUUUGAGAAAAAGCGAAGAGGUUGCUUUGUUGAUUCUACUGUUAUCUUUCCCAUUUCUGAUGAAAUUUUCAACUCUCUGCAACAGAAAAAGAAGAAGACUAAAAAGUUGUGGAGAAAUAUUAGGACUGGGAGCUUACAAAUAAGACUCAGCCAAUAUGGAUUAGCCUUUGAAUUACUAUCUCCUGCUACUAUGCUCCCAAAGUUUGUUUUUACUGAUAUACUGAGUUACUGCUUUUCUUUUCCAGCUUCAAAGCCCUAAGAAAGUGGGUAAAGAGGAGUAUAAUAAGUUCUCUUGAAAAAUAAUGUUACAUGGGAAUGUGUUUAUGUAACACCCCGUACUUAAUUACGUGCAUUAGUCAUUGUUAUAUGUGUUGGGGUAUAUGUAUUGAUCCUAAGUUAGGUAUAUAUGAGUUUAAGUAUGAGUAUUGAUUAUUUUGAGAUGGUUUCAAGUGUAUAGUUUGAUUAUAGGUGUAUAGGAAUCGACUUUAUUUAUAUCGGAAUUUUCCCGUCGAUGGUUCCAUACGAAGGUUAUUGAAUAAGCUUUCCAACGAUAUAAAGAUUUCCAAAAACGGAUAAGUUUCGGAUAUAAGCGAGCUCGUUCGAAACUUUAAAACGGUGGCCGGGAUGUGAACAGUAAAAUGUGCAGGAAACUACUGAGGCCUGCCAGUUUUUUGGGUCAACUUUGAACGAUCAUAACUCCCUCAAUAUAAUGAACUGGUUGAGCUACCAUAUAUCAAAAGAAAGAUCUUUGAGUCUUCUUUCCAAUGAAAUUGGUUUCAUCCAAAUCCAACAUCUGAGUAAGGAGUUAUACUCGUUUUACUUCAGCCUCUCAAAACAGAUUUUUAGGGUCAACUUCAAACGAUCAUAACUACUUGUACAGGACGAACUGGGUGGAUUAAUUUAUAUUAAAUGAAAGACCUUUGAAUUAUCUUUCUAACGAUACCAAUUUCACCCAAAUCCGAUAUCGGAGCAAAGAGUUAUGGCCGAUUUACUUUAGCCUAUCAAAACAGUCCACCAUGGACAGAUUCGGAUUUACUUAAAUUUUUAAGGGCAAUAUGGUCAUUUUCCAUCACCUCAUGGACGAAAAUUGGUCAUUAUAUACAUAUACUUAGCCUUAUAUCCACCAUUUAUCAUCCAAAUCAUUGAAGAAUAAGAAACCCUAGCCUAAGUUCAACUCCAAUUAUCUUGUGAUUCAACCGUAGAAAAUCCAAAUUGAUUCCGUAGUUGUGUUCACCGUCUCAAGGGCUUCGAGAAGCACCCCUUAUUUGUGCCAACAGGACUUCGAAAUCAAAAGGGCCAUUUUUUUUGGUAAGGAUGUAAAUUAUGUUGGUGUUAUUUAUAUGGAUAUGUAUAUAUAUAUAUAUAUGCAUGUGAGCAUAAGAAGUAUGUUAUUUGAUUGUUGUUGAAAGAUGAUUGGAAAUGAUGUUGGAUUAUUCUUGUGCAUGGUUGGAUUAUGUUAAAUUGUGAAGGAAUUUGGGGUGAUGAUGUGGUAUUGAUGAUGUGGUAUUGAGAUGAUGAUUAUAUACAUAUACACACAUAAACCUAUUGUUCAAGUUGGUUUUUGGAAUGUUUUGCAAAUAUUGGUAGUAUGGAAUUAUGGAAGAGAAUUGUGGUGUUGGGUUGCUAAUACUAGAUGCCAAACAUUUCAUUGUAGAUAAGUGAUUUGUAAAGGCGGGAAGUUGUGUUGAAUUGGUAGCUGAAUCUACAACGAAGUAUGUAAAGCAUACUCUAACAAUGUUCUUUGGCAUGAAAACACCAAUGUUCCAUCAAGUAAGAUUCCGAGGUUGUCCAAAAACAUGUAUUGUUCUACGUUACCAACGAAGUUGUUUCCAUCCUAUAAAGUGUCAAAAUGUUCAUUGAUAUACCAAAAGGCUCUUAUUUCAUUGUUGUGAUAUUGAUGAUUCUGAAACAUAUUGUUGAUGUACCAAUGAGUCCUUAUUACAUCGUUAUUGUAUAGAAGGUCUAUUACUUGGUUCCUAUUGAUGUAUCAUUGUUUCAAGGUAUCAAAAAUGUGGUGACGACCGAAAUAACAAUCUCAAAGAUUAAUUGAACUAAGUGAUGAAAGUUCUCUCUUAUCGGGUGGUAUCCCAGGGGCAUAAGCCUAGCAUGGGUCGAUCCCUAUUUCAUGUGUUUAUGGGUGGUAUCCCAGGGGCAUAAGCCUAGCAUGGGUCGAUCCCAGUUGAUAUGUACUGGAGGCAUCCUAAUGGUCACAGUACAGUACAGUAAUGAUUACAAAGACGAUAAGAACGAAGGUAAAGUGAUUGAAUAAAUACAAUGUACACGUUGUCACAAGUUCUAGUAAGUAUGGUCCACUCCUAUUACGACUUAUUCACUUGUUUCUAAUUUCUAUUGAGCUCCUAUAUCAUAUGUGAUUAUUUACAGCUUUACAUACUCAGUACAUAUUUCGUACUGACGUCCCUCACGGGGGACCUGCAUUUCAUGCUGCAGGCACAGGUACCUCAACUCAUACACCGCACAAGUAGGAGCCAGGUCAUACAGCUAUUGUUGGUGAGCUCCAGUUUGCUUCGGAGCUUUCCGAGUCGGUUCCUUAUGUUUUGUUAUUGUACAUGAGUCACGUGUGGGCGGGGGUUUGUCCCGACCCUAGUUAUGUCAUGUAUAUCCUAGAGGCUUUGUAGACAUAAGGAAGGGUAAAGUCAUGGAAGUUUAUAUAGUAACGUUAUAUUUGUAUAUGUGGUGGCCCCGACGGCCAAGUAUUAUAUAUAUAUAUUUGUGCGUGUUGUGCUGAUACAGGUAAUUAGACCUUUCUAUAUGCAACGAAGUGCUGUCCAAUUUUUUUGGUGACAUGUAAGUGAAAGUACAGGUAUUUGAACGGGUUCUCCCGGGCCUUCUCGGCUUCGGGUGCCAGUCCGGCCCGAUGGGAUUUUGGGGCGUGACAGUUUAUUCGUCUAAUCAGGUUAUUCCAAUGGAGAAUGUGAAUGGUCGUAAACUUGUAGAAUCAGGCUGAGGAACAAACUCUUGGUCGGGAUGGUGGAGGAAUAUCUGCCAAUGGACUGAAAACAAAGGAAGGGCAGGGGAUGUCCAAGAAAUGCAAAGAGAAUGAGACAUUCAAGUGAACCAGAUAUUCUUGGCCAACAUUUUACACCCAUUGCCUUCUACUCGAACCAUACAUUUAUACAAUUUUUUGAUACGUGUAUUUAUACAGAGGUUUGAUCCUUUGUCGCCAGGGAGAAAUGAUUGCAACGCAUGGCAGUGAAUGAGCUGAUGUUCAUGGCUGCAGUGGGGUUCAAUGCUGCUGCUAGGUCAUUUUUCUUUCUUGAUUACCUAUUAACCAUUCAUGGUAUAAAUAUUUCAUUUAAAUUAUAUAUAAUGACAGUUCAAAAUAAUUACUUGUGAUUAUGUGCAAGUUACCAAACCAUACUUGCUAAAGAAUAUUACCUAUAUUCGUAACUGAUAUGAUAUAAGAAACUUUUAUACUGCUAGUUUAUACAAGUUAAACUCGUUUUGAUCAAUGUGAGAGUGAGCAAUGAGCUAGGAGCAGCACAUCCAAAGUCAGCAGCAUUCUCAGUAUUUGUGGUGACAUCAAUUUCAUUUGUGAUAGCUGUGGUGAAAGCUAUAAUAGUGUUAUGUUUGCGUAAUGUUAUCAGCUAUGCAUUCACCAAGGGUGAAGCUGUGGCUAAUGAGUGUCGGAUUUGUGUCCAUUUUUAGCUUUCACCCUCAUUCUCAAUGGCAUUCAACCAGUCUUGUCUGGUAACAAAUAUCUCCUCCUUAAUCUCCUUAUUUAUAUUAUAAUAUACAGGGUAUAUACGUUGACAAGGUAAAGUGUUUAUACUAUCUACGUAAUCUAACAUGUUGUAGCCAGUUAUUUGUCUUAUUCUUCAUGUAACUGAACUCACUUAUUAUGUGUUGUCUCGGCCUAGAAUUGUAUUUCUUUAGUAUUGGCUGGUCAUUAUGUGGUAGAUGUUUUUUGAACUUACAUGAGUUGCUGAUUUGCUCCAGUUAAGGUCUAGCAAGAAUCAGAAGGAAAGACUUAAAGUUACCUGGACCUCGAGGACAGUAAGGGUAGUAUUAUUGCAAGACCAACUAGAUUUGCUAAUUUUUUCAGCUGGUGGUUGCUAAAACAGGUAUUUUGUCAAUCACGAUAUCGCAAAAUUGAAGCAGUAAUAAAGAAUAAGUGACUACCACAAACAUCAUAACAAACUCUGUUAUUGUUUGUCCUUUUAUUGAUGCCAACUUCUAUAAAAAUAUGUAAAUAUAUAAAUAACGAUAGUGAAAUCGUGAAUGUCAUGCAUACAAACAAUGUGCAUGUUUAUAUAUAUUACCAUCUCUUUAUUAAUUGUUACCUUUGCUAA